rnacentral:rRNA from 1 species
CACGCGCGGUGGUCCCACCUGACCCCAUGCCGAACUCAGAAGUGAAACGCCGUAGCGCCGAUGGUAGUGUGGGGUCUCCCCAUGCGAGAGUAGGGAACUGCCAGGC